GUUAAUGUAGCUUAAAUUAUAAAAAGCAAGGCACUGAAAAUGCCUAGAUGAGUUUCUUACUCCAUAAACA
rnacentral:tRNA from 1 species